CGAAGCUGUAAAUAAAAGCAGUACAAUUUUUCUCUCAAACUAUUUCUAAAUUCUCCGAUAGCACAAUGAUAGGUUCACUUAAUAGAUUGGUACAGACUUUCCUUAGGGGAAACUAAAGGGUUUUAUUUAUUUAUUUUUACCUCUCUGAGUCAAAAGUUGAUAAUGCAGAAAUAUUACACAAAUACCAUGACUACAGCAUCUUUUCUUUUUAUUGGACAGCAGUUGUGGUUUGAAAAGUAACUGUCUUCGGAAAGUUUUAAAGACUUCAUGGCAAUGGCUGAAGCUAUGUGGACUCUCCAAAUUACCUAAUGGAAUAGCAUAUAAGAGGACCCCAGUGGCUCAGUGGUAAAGAAUCUGCCUGCCAAUGCAGAAGACUCAAGAGACUUGGGUUUCAUCUCUGGGUUGGAUAUAUCCACUGGAAUAGGAAAUGGCAACCGGCUCCAGUAUUUUUGCCAGGAAAAUUAUGUGGACAGAGGAUCCUGGCAAGCUACAGUCCAUGAGGUCGCAAAGAGUCGGACACGACUGAGCACACAAGCACAAGAGUGGCUACAUCCUGUUUUCUGUGACAUGGGAACUUGUCCACAACUCCAUCAUCAUCACCACCACCAGCACCACCAUCAGUCAAGAGACACUUACCCAGCACUUUCUUUGGAGCACAGUCUGGGUAAGACCUUCUUCUUUCCUUGUCCUGGGGUCCAGACCUCUUCU
rnacentral:lncRNA from 1 species